UCUCUUUAAAACCUCUACAUAAGACCUAGCAGCUAUUUUUCAGUCUUGCGAGAACAGUGCCAAUAAUAGGUAAUUAUCACUGCCAAUAAAAGGUUUGGCUAUGCCAACAACUGGUAUUUUGAGGUAUUUUUU